UGCAAGUCGGACGGUAGCACAGAGGAGCUUGCUCCUCGGGUGACGAGUGGCGGACGGGUGAGUAAUGUCUGGGGAUCUGCCCGAUAGAGGGGGAUAACCACUGGAAACGGUGGCUAAUACCGCAUAACGUCGCAAGACCAAAGAGGGGGACCUUCGGGCCUCUCACUAUCGGAUGAACCCAGAUGGGAUUAGCUAGUAGGCGGGGUAACGGCCCACCUAGGCGACGAUCCCUAGCUGGUCUGAGAGGAUGACCAGCCACACUGGAACUGAGACACGGUCCAGACUCCUACGGGAGGCAGCAGUGGGGAAUAUUGCACAAUGGGCGCAAGCCUGAUGCAGCCAUGCCGCGUGUAUGAAGAAGGCCUUCGGGUUGUAAAGUACUUUCAGCGGGGAGGAAGGCAAUGAGG
rnacentral:rRNA from 1 species